UUGCCAGCGCCGGCCGAUCGGGCCUCAGGGGAGGGACGAGGCUGAGAGAGGGGACCCUCCAACUCCGGCCCUUCCAGGGGCGCCGGGGGACCGAAGAGAGAUUUGGGAAGGAGGGCUCUCUGGCGAGCUGGGAGGCUGUGACCUGGCCACAGGCGGCGGUCGCGGCGCGGAGGGCGCCCGAGGGUGUCCCAGGGGCCCCGGGAAGCGUUCUGGGAUCCCGCCUCUCUGCACCGUUGCAUCUCAAAGCGGGAGGACUCAGUUCCGCGCCUAUGCCCAAGUGGAGGCAACUCGCCAUGCAGGGAUCUGCCUUCCUGUGGAAUGAUCUCCAAUGAUCUUCAAGUAUCUCCUGCAGACCCAGUUCUCUUGCUAAAUAAGUCACUGGAAGAUAAUUCCUGGACACACCUUGGACAGCUCCCCACAUUUCUCUAUUUGGAGCUUUGGGGUGGUAGGAAAUUGAUGCCCUCAGAAAGGACACCCCCAACCAGCAAGAAACCAGAGUUGGUGGAAAACAACAUUUCUUCACUCUCGAUGGGACAACCUGAAGGCAUGUUCUAGUCAAUACUGCUUCUCACAGGUCCCCAACAAGGGUUAGAGACAGAGUCUCGCUCUGUUGUUCAGGCUGGAGUGCAGUGGCGCCAUCAUGGCUCACUGCAGCCUUGAACUCCUGGGCUCAAGCAAUUCUCCCACCCGAGUAGCUGGACUAUAGGUUCUCACCAACACGCCCAGCUCUUUAUCGCUCUUUGACUUUCUGUUUCAUUUCUCUAUUCCCUCAUUAUGCUUCCUGGGAUCAUUUCACAGAUAAGCUACUUGCUCCCAAAUCCUUGUCUCAGGGGCAGUCAACAGAGACAGUGGCAGAGGACCAUGGGAGAGCUAGAAUUUCAGGUCUCCAGACUCCUAGUCCAGUGCUCUUUCCAGGGUUUCUCAACCUUGGCACUAUUAACAUUUUGGACUGGAUAAUGCAUUGCUAGGGAGGGUUGACCUAUGCACUGUAGGAUGUUUAGUAGCAUCCCUGACCUUUGUCCACUAAAUGCCACUAGCACCCUCCAGUUGGGAACAGUCAAAACUGUUUUCUGCUUUAUCAGAAGUUCCCCGGGGCAAAACACUGUGGUUGCAAACCACUAUUCCACAUCAGGCCAU